rnacentral:rRNA from 1 species
CUAUUAUUAGACUGGCGCUACCCUCUCGGGGGUAGCUAGUCGAAGGUUUCGAAAGGAACCGAUGUAAAUUUAAUCCCUUUUAUCUAAUGCCUGAAUCAAUACGGCGUACAGAAAUGUAUGCUUUCAAUUGAGAUACAACUUUCAACAGUGGAUGUCUUGGCUCGCACAUCGAUGAAGAACGCUGCGAACUGCGAUACGUAAUGCGAAUUGCAGAAUUCAGUGAGUCAUCAAAAUUUUGAACGCAUAUUGCACUUCCGGGUUAGUCCUGGGAGUAUGCUUGUAUCAGUGUCCGUUAAUACAAAAUUGUUUCAUUGAUUUGAAGCAGACUGUGAAGCGUCUUGUUGUGGCAAGUCCUUUCAAAUGAGUAUUACCUGCACGUCCUCGUGGCUUGUAUUAUAUAAAGGUAUAUACGGUUUCAAUUUCUUGAGUCUUGUGUGAAACAUGGGCCUUGAAGGUGGAAUGAAUUGCGGUAGUUUUGCUUGUACUUCGGUACGGGUGGAUCACAUAUUGCCUUUUGUUUUGCUUGACGGAUUUGUGUGACGCGCAUGAUUCGAUUUUGGAUAGUAUGUACUGGUACAUUCCUUGACGAGCGGAGGCAACUUGGGAAACUACUCCAAUUUGGACCUGAUAUCAAGCAAGAUUACC